rnacentral:rRNA from 1 species
UUCCCAUAGCGCAAGCUAGUAAGAACCCUGAAAGAUGAUCAGGUUGAUAGGUCCGAGGUGGAAGUGUGGUGACACAUGGAGCUGACGGAUACUAAUCGUUCGAGGACUUAACCAAAU